rnacentral:rRNA from 1 species
AUGGACGGCACUACUGCAACAGGGCUAGGUUUCACAACUGAGCGGCCAAUGCCAUCUGACGGAAUAGGUUCGCUGAUGUCUAACACUGUACAAAGGAUGUCAAGUUUUCCAAGAUCAUUUGCAAGUCAUUUGAGGCCAGGAUAUAGACCUACUCCAACUUCUUCUUCUGAUGGAAAUGGUAUGAUCAGUUUGCCUCUGCUUCAAACAAUCAAAAUACUAUGUGAUUUGGCAAAUUUCUUCAUGAUCUUAAUCUUGAUGGUCCAAAUUUGUGAAUCACAGGCUCUCUGGUGUCGGAUGGAGGGUCUAGGUAUUCAUGAUCAGUGCUACCUUCAUUUUAUGUUGGAGAUGACCUUGGAGGAGCAGCGGAAAGCAAUACUCGAGCUAAAGACCGAGAAGAGAAAACUAUUGCCUCUGCAUUUCUUGCACAUCUAG